rnacentral:lncRNA from 1 species
GACCAAUGAAAGCGCAGAUUUAUUGAGGGGAAAGUACACUCCACAGAAGUGGAAUGUAGGUGUGGGAGCAGGCGACCAAGCGGCUCAAGAACCCCGAUUACAAUGUUUUUUAGGGUUUUAUUAGGUUGGUGCAAAAGUAAUUGCGGUUUUUGCCAUGAAUAAGCUAGAAUUUUAUAAUACCCCAAGAGUUCUUUAAAGGCCUCCAAUCCUAUGAAGGACUGGUGCACAACCAAUCAGAGGCUGAAGUGGAGACUUCUGUCUUGUUACCACAGGAGUGAGGACGUGGCCUGUGUGCUGCCUCAUCUUGCCUAGAACUAGCUGCACCUGCUGUUCUUUUGCUUAUGCCUUCAUUCUUGGUUACCCUAAUUCCCUAUUCUCCUGCCUCACUCUGAGGCAUUAGAGUUGGUUUUUCAGUCUGCCAGGGACAAAAGAGAACUAAUCCAGAUAGGACCAUGCCAAGGAAGAUAGAGGAGAGGCUAAAGAAAGAGUACAAAGGUCAAUCAGUCGUUCCCAUGGAAAAACAACUCUCCUGCUUAUAUAGUCAAUUAUUGUGUCCAAUUCAUUCAGCAAAACAUUUAUUCAUGUAAUAUCCCUUACUUGGUAUUCUAACUUAUAUUUUCAACUCAUUUUAGGAACUUGAAGUCAGUCUCAGGUAAAGAACAAUGAAAGAGAAAUCUCAGCUUGGUAUUGGUAAUGGUGGUGAUAAUCUCCACCUGGAGACACUAGGCGUAUGUUAAAUUAUCGAGCUUGUUAUCUUUCCUGGGAAGUGAUUAUCAUUUGUUUCUCUUGUGACAGCGGGGAGUGUUCUGCAUGAGGAACUAAUAUGAUACCAGAAAAACAGGUGAAAUGCCAGUUACAGAAACUUAUUACCAACGACUAUCUAAUAACUGCGAUGACAGAAAUAGGUCAAUUGAAACAUGAGUGGAUGGUGAAAAAAAUUUACACUUCACAGAAGUUUUUCUUUCUUUUUUUUUUUUUUUUUUUUUGAGACAAAGUCUCGUUCUGUCCCAGACUGGAGCACUAUUCACAAUAGCCAAAAUAUGGAAUCAACCUAGAUGUCCAACAACAGAUAAAUGGAUAAAGAAAAUGUGGUUUAUACACACAAAGGAAUACUAUUCAAAGAACAGAAUGAAAUCCUAUCACCUGAGGCAACAUGGAUGGAAAUGGAGGACAUUAUUUAAGUGAAAUAAGCCAGGAACAUAAACAUGCACAUUCCCACUCAUAUGUGGAAGCUUUAAAAAAAAAAAAAAAAAGCUGGGUGCGGUGGCUCACGCCUGUAAUCCCAGCACUUUGGGAGGCUGAGGCGGGUGGAUCACCUGAGGUCGGGAGUUCAAGACUAGCCUGACCAACAUGGAGAAACCCUGUCUCUACUAAAAAUACAAAAUUAGCCGGGGUGGUGGUGCAUGCCUGUAAUCCCAGCUACUCAGGAGGCUGAGGCAGGAGAAUCGCUUGAACCCAGGAGGCAGAGGCUGCGGUGAGCCAAGAUCAUGCCACUGCACUCCAGCCUGGGCAAAAAGAGUGAAACUCCAUCUC